rnacentral:rRNA from 1 species
UACGUAGGGGGCAAGCGUUAUCCGGAUUUACUGGGUGUAAAGGGAGCGUAGGCGGCAGGGCAAGCCUGAUGUGAAAUCCCGCGGCUCAACCGCGGAACUGCAUUUGAAACUGCCAUGCUGGAGUGCCGGAGAGGUAAGCGGAAUUCCUAGUGUAGCGGUGAAAUGCGUAGAUAUUAGGAGGAACACCAGUGGCGGAGGCGGCUUACUGGACGGUAACUGACGCUGAGGCUCGAAAGCGUGGGGAGCAAACAGG